GAGGCCCUUUAACGUGUUUUCUUGCAGGGAUGAGUAUAAACCCAGUCGAAAUCUGUCAAAAACGGCCAAAAAUGGCUAGCCGAGGCAAACCACCGCCGCAGACAGCGGUACCGUCGUUGGAGCACGACGAUACCACCGUGCUAGAAUUCUGAAUUUGGCCAGAAGGGGUUUCUAACACCAAUUUUGGGUUUUUUAGGGUAUUUUUAGGUACUUGAAGCAUGUUUUAAUCUCCGAAGAAAAAUUUAAAGAAUCCGGAGACUGCUAGUAGGCACAACUUAAAGUUUAGCAUUUUAGACACCGAUUC
rnacentral:lncRNA from 1 species